rnacentral:sRNA from 1 species
GCUGAGUAUGGUGGUGCAUGCCUGUAAUCCCAGUGGCUUGGGAAGCUGAGUCAGGAGGAUCACUAGUUCAAAGCCAGUCUCAGCAAUGGCGAGGCACUAGGCAACUCAGUGAGACCCUGUCUCUA